rnacentral:tmRNA from 1 species
GGGGAUGACUAGCUUUCGACAGCGGUCUAUAACAUCGCAUUCUGUCGUGCCAGGAGUGGGCACCUUCUGUAAACACUGCCUACUAAAGACGUGCAACAAUCGUCAAAAACAAGGUAGCUAGCGUGUUCGCGCCAGUCGUGAACUUCGCAGCUGCCCCUGUUGUAGCAUAACGCUCACAACACGCGGCCGUUUCUCGUACCGUUCGGGGAACGCACCGUGACACUCUAAACGGUGUAGCAUGCACUCGUGGCCCAUGGGGUCAUGUGAAAUCUAGGGCUUUAAGAUCUGCGGUUUUCGUUCUUUUCGACGCCGAUCUUGAACACACUAAAGAACGUGCGCACGGAACACAGGUUCGAUGUUUCCGCUAGACGUGGGUGCAAAUCCCACCAUCUCCACAC